rnacentral:rRNA from 1 species
UACAGAGGGGGCAAGCGUUGUUCGGAAUUACUGGGCGUAAAGGGCGCGUAGGCGGCCUUCUAAGUCGAACGUGAAAUCCCCGGGCUCAACCCGGGAACUGCGUCCGAUACUGGAAGGCUUGAAUCCGGGAGAGGGAUGCGGAAUUCCAGGUGUAGCGGUGAAAUCGCGUAGAUAUCUGGAGGAACACCGGUGGCGAAGGCGGC